AUUGAACGCUGGCGGCAUGCUUUACACGUGCAAGUCGAACGGCAGCGCGGGCUUCGGCCUGGCGGCGAGUGGCGAACGGGUGAGUAAUGCAUCGGAACGUGCCCAGUAGUGGGGGAUAGCCCGGCGAAAGCCGGAUUAAUACCGCAUACGACCUGAGGGUGAAAGCGGGGGACCGAAAGGCCUCGCGCUAUUGGAGCGGCCGAUGUCGGAUUAGCUAGUUGGUGGGGUAAAGGCUUACCAAGGCGACGAUCCGUAGCUGGUCUGAGAGGACGACCAGCCACACUGGGACUGAGACACGGCCCAGACUCCUACGGGAGGCAGCAGUGGGGAAUUUUGGACAAUGGGGGCAACCCUGAUCCAGCUAUGCCGCGUGCGGGAAGAAGGCCUUCGGGUUGUAAACCGCUUUUGUUCGGGAAGAAAUCCUCUGGGCUAAUACCCCGGGGGGAUGACGGUACCGGAAGAAUAAGCACCGGCUAACUACGUG
rnacentral:rRNA from 1 species